rnacentral:rRNA from 1 species
CCUACGGGAGGCAGCAGUGGGGAAUAUUGGACAAUGGGCGAAAGCCUGAUCCAGCAACGCCGCGUGAGGGAUGACUGCCUUCGGGUUGUAAACCUCUUUCAGCAGGGACGAAGCGAAAGUGACGGUACCUGCAGAAGAAGCACCGGCCAACUACGUGCCAGCAGCCGCGGUAAUACGUAGGGUGCGAGCGUUGUCCGGAAUUAUUGGGCGUAAAGGGCUCGUAGGCGGUCUGUUGCGUCGGGAGUGAAAACUCAGGGCUUAACCCUGAGCCUGCUUCCCGAUACGGGCAGGACUAGAGGUAUGCAGGGGAGAACGGAAUUCCUGGUGUAGCGGUGAAAUGCGCAGAUAUCAGGAGGAACACCGGUGGCGAAGGCGGUUCUCUGGGCAUUACCUGACGCUGAGGAGCGAAAGUGUGGGGAGCGAACGGGGAUUAGAUACCCUGGUAGUCCACACCGUAAACGUUGGGCGCUAGGUNUGGGGACUCAUCACGAGUCGUCGCGCNGCUACGCAUAGCGCCCGCCGUCGGGUACGGUACGGCCGCCGACGGACGUAAACCGUUAAACGGUAAAGUUAGUAACGGUACGUGUUAGACGUAGCCGAACGGACGACGACGACGGGAGGAGGG